UGUGCAGCAGAAACACAACAGACACACGUGUGUAUCUUCACUGCUGCAGAGGAGGAGAGAGAGCAAUGCCUGAACACAAACACUACAGCAACAUCACUACAAACAAACCCACCGAAACAAAGUCACUUACAGGAUCAGUGACGUGUUGUGGACUGUAAGCCUGUUGAACAGAAGCAGAGACGUGUGGACAGACACUGACUGUACUGAUGAUGAUCAUCUGCUGCUGCACAGGCUGUAAAGUAUAACCCCUGCUGGACACGGCUCCGGAAGCUCCAGGGGGAGACCGAACUGGUAUCCCCCCUUCUUCAGGCGCGCCUCACACUCACUCACCAUUCACACAUAUCGCAGAGUUCUGGCUGGGACCGAUACCAGCAACCCCUGAAGCCGUGGGGCAGCGCUCUUACCACAGAGCCACAGAUCUCCUGUCUGAACACCUGCUGGAACUGAUGUUUGGCUGCUGACCUGUGUGUGAGCUGAUUCAAUAAAACAAGAUACAAGUCA